GAGUUUGAUCGUGGCUCAGGAUGAACGCUAGCGGCAGGCUUAACACAUGCAAGUCGAGGGGCAUCGGGAGGGAAGCUUGCUUUCCUUGCCGGCGACCGGCGCACGGGUGAGUAACACGUAUGCAACCUGCCCUCUUCAGGGGGACAACCUUCCGAAAGGGAGGCUAAUCCCGCGUAUAUCGGUUUCGGGCAUCCGUUAUCGAGGAAAGAUUCAUCGGAAGAGGAUGGGCAUGCGGCGCAUUAGCUUGACGGCGGGGUAACGGCCCACCGUGGCGACGAUGCGUAGGGGUUCUGAGAGGAAGGUCCCCCACACUGGUACUGAGACACGGACCAGACUCCUACGGGAGGCAGCAGUGAGGAAUAUUGGUCAAUGGGAGAGAUCCUGAACCAGCCAAGCCGCGUGAGGGAAGACGGCCCUAUGGUUGUAAACCUCUUUUGUCGGAGAACAAAACCCGGGACGUGUCCCGGACUGCGUGUAUCCGAAGAAAAAGCAUCGGCUAACUCCGUGCCAGCCGCCGCGGUAAG
rnacentral:rRNA from 1 species